ensembl:lncRNA
CAGAGAGGAAGUGAGAGAGAGAGAGAGAGAGAGAGAGAGAGACAGACAGUCAGAGAGAGAGUGAGACAGAGAGACAGAGAGAGAGUGAGACAGAGAGAGAGAGAGACAGAAAGAGACAGAGAGAGAGUGAGACAGAGAGACAGAGAGAGAGAGAGACAGAAAGAGACAGAGAGAGAUAGAGAGAGAGAGAGAGAGACAGAGAGAGAGAGAGACAGAGAGAGAGAGAGAGAGACAGAGAGAGAGACAGAGAGAGAGUGAGACAGAGAGAGAGAGAGAGACAGAGAGAGAGUGAGACAGAGAGAGAGAGAGAGAGUCAGAGAGACAGAGAGAGAGUGAGACAGAGAGAGAGAGAGAGACAGAGUGGAAGAAAGAGUAGAGAGAGAGAGAGAGACAGAGAGAGAGUGAGACAGAGAGAGAGAGACAGAGACAGAGAAGUAGAGAGAGAGAGAGAGAGACAGAGAGAGAGUGAGACAGAGAGAGAGAGACAGAGACAGAGAGUGAGACAGAGAGAGAGAGAGAGAGAGCGAG